CCUACGGGAGGCAGCAGUGAGGAAUAUUGGUCAAUGGGCGGAAGCCUGAACCAGCCACGUAGCGUGCGGGAUGACGGCCCUACGAGUCGUAACCCGCUUUUGCACGGGGAUAACACCCGCCACUUGUGGAGGUCUCCCCGUCCCGUGCGGAUCAGGCCCGGCAAAUACCGGGCCAGCAGCCGCGGUAAUCCGGAGGGCCCGGGCGUUAUCCGGAUGCAUGGGGGUAAACGGGAGCGUAGGGGGGCGUUAAGGUUAGCGGUAAAAUCGCGGGGUUCAACCGGGACCCGCAGUUGAAACUGGACGCCUUGAGUGAAGAACAGGCAGGCGGAAUUCGUGGUGUAGCGGUGAAAUGCAUAGAGAUCGCGAGGAACCCCGAUGGCGAAGGCAGCCUGCUGGGGUGCGACUGACGCUGAGGCUCGAAGGUGCGGGUAGCAAACAGGAUUAGAUACCCGAGUAGUC
rnacentral:rRNA from 1 species